GUACUACUCCCUUCGUUCCGAAUUACUUGUCGCAGAUAUGGAUGUAUCUAAAUGUAUUUUAGUUCUAGAUACAUUCAUUUCUGUGACUAGUAAUUCGGAACGGAGGGAGUACUCG
rfam:Triticum urartu cultivar G1812 contig1432, whole genome shotgun sequence.